AUGGCCAUGGUGCUGGACGCCUUCGCGUCCUACAUCGCCGACACGAUCAAGCAGAUGGCGGCAGACGAGGUGGGGAUGCUGCUCGGCGUCACGGGGGAGAUCGACAGCCUGAAGGACAAGCUGGAGAGCCUCAGGGAUUACCUCGCCGAUGCCGAGAGGAAGCGCAUCACUGACCGGAGGGUGCAGGGGUGGGUCACGAAGCUCAAGGGUGUCAUGUACGAGGCGAGCAACAUCCUCGACCUCUGCGAGCUCAAGGCCAUGGGUCGGCGGGACGCAGCACCCGCAUCCUGCUGCAACCCUCUGCUCUUCUGCUUGCGGCACCCCAGAUUCGCCCAUGACAUUGGCAGCCGCAUCAGGAAGCUCAACAAGAGGCUGGACAACAUCUGCAAGCUGGGUGCUGCCUUCAGCUUCAUCAAGCUGGAGACCUACCAGGACUACAGGACCGGCCGACCUUCUGCGGCUGACCGGAAGACGGAUCCGGUUUUGGAGCGCUCGGCCGUAGUAGGGGAGAAGAUUGAAGAUGAUACAAGAACACUGGUUGAGGAGCUGACAAAGGAUAACGAUGGUAUCAUGGUGGUCGCCAUCGUUGGUGUCGGCGGGAUUGGGAAGACCACCCUUGCCAAGAAGGUCUUCAACCAUGAGGAAAUUCAACACAAGUUUGACAAGAAGAUGUGGCCACAGGACUUCAGCGAGGUUGAGCUACUAAGAUCGGCCAUCACUGCCGCUGAUGGAAAACUCCCUGCAACUCAAGACAAAUCUAUGCUUGUGCCGGCCCUUCUCAACGCCGUCAGAAAUCAGAAGUUUCUUCUGGUUUUGGAUGACAUGUGGACUGAUAGAGCAUGGACCUCCUUGCUCAAUCGUCCCUUCAGCUAUGGUGCCCCUGGUAGCCGGAUUGUCAUCACCACUAGAAAUGAUACUGUUGCCCGAGGCACGAGAGCCAGAGAGCCCUACCACCGCAUUGACAAAUUAGGGCCUGAUGAUGCCUGGUCAUUGCUCAAGAAACAGGUAGUCUCGGGCGAUGAAGAUGGACCUGAUAUCGAUAUGCUUAAGGAUAUUGGACUGCAAGUGGUUGAAAAAUGUGAUGGUUUGCCUCUUGCUGUCAAAGUAAUGGGAGGAGUUUUGCGUCAGAAGGGAAGCAACGCCAUGACUGGGAGAUGGUUCUGA
rnacentral:rRNA from 1 species